GUUGGAAGCUGCCUCUCUUUUAAAUCAUCAUCAUUGAGGAGAAACUGAUAUGUCCCUCCUCAUCCACCCACAAUUCACCUCCCAGCCUAGUGGUGAUGAGACGUGGAGGGUAGCUGUUCAAACGCUACCUCCGUCUGGGACAAAAUGCAUCUCUUGUCUGGCAAGGAGAUGGGUUUAUCUGUCAGCAGCUCCCAGAGCCUCAGCAUCAAUGCCUCCUGAGAAGACAAACUGAAGCUCGCCUUGCCACUUUGUAUGCACCAGACCUCCACACCCGAGGCUUAUCACAAGCAAUUAUCUUACCCAAAUAAAAAAUGAAAAUGGAAAAGUUAAAUAAAUAACAGGACAUCUUGAUGGAAUCGCAGUAAUGCUCAUCUUGGU
ensembl:lncRNA